GACAUGCAGAGAACUUUCCAGAGAUGGAUUGGUGCCUUCGGGAACUCUGACACAGGUGCUGCAUGGCUGUCGUCGGCUCGUGUCGUGAGAUGUUGGGUUAAGUCCGUAACGAGCGCAACCCUUGUCCUUAGUUACCAGCACGUUAUGGUGGGCACUCUAAGGAGACUGCCGGUGACAAACCGGAGGAAGGUGGGGAUGACGUCAAGUCAUCAUGGCCCUUACGGCCUGGGCUACACACGUGCUACAAUGGUCGGUACAAAGGGUUGCCAAGCCGCGAGGUGGAGCUAAUCCCAUAAAACCGAUCGUAGUCCGGAUCGCAGUCUGCAACUCGACUGCGUGAAGUCGGAAUCGCUAGUAAUCGUGAAUCAGAAUGUCACGGUGAAUACGUUCCCGGGCCUU
rnacentral:rRNA from 1 species